CACAUGGAAGAACGCAGUCCUACAUAUUUGUUUAAUAUGUGCAUUGAAGGUGAUAUCCUGGUGAAAAACAACUCCAAGAUUCCUCACAGUCUUGGAGCUUCAAAAUGGGACUUCAGAAACCAGUGGACUGUAUCAUGGUAUGGCUGAUUGGAGUGACAGCUUGCAGCUGAAGAAGUGCAGACAGGACAGUUCAGGAGAGACGGUGGAGAGUGGGCAGGGAGGUGAGUGCAGGUGAGUAUGAUUAAAUCAGCGUACUGGGAGCAGUGGAAAAUGAUUGCAGGUACGUACAGGUUAGCAUAGCAGCGGGUAAAACAAAGCACGAGCAGAGUAAUAAACCAGGAGAAGGCUAGGAUGAUUUGUUAGAACACAGGUAAAGUUUCAAAAAUUGGUAAUAUUUUUCAAAGCCAAAUUAUCAGGGCAACAACAAUCUGGCACGGGGUAGAAACUAAGUUGCUCCUUAAAUCUUGAACAGUGAUAAAUAUACAAAUUGCAUGCCGUGGCGCACAUGAACAAGUUUGCCUGAAUGCGGAACCUGCUCCUCCUCAGGGCACCUGCUCCAAACUCCUCCUGAGAGAGAGCCAAAGCAAAAGGUGGUGAGAGAGAGUGAGCGAGAGAAAGGGAGAGAAAUAGCAGAGCCUGCCAGCUGGGUUACUUUGAAUCCCGGCAUAAACAUCUUAACACCCACCAUCUGAUCAGCAGCCAAUCUAGGGUUAGGAGUAGGAUUAAGGCUGGAAUUUGUAGUAGA